rnacentral:rRNA from 1 species
AGAGUUUGAUCCUGGCUCAGAUUGAACGCUGGCGGCAUGCCUUACACAUGCAAGUCGAACGCGAAAGCGGGGCAACCCGCAAGUAGAGUGGCGAACGGGUGAGUAAUACAUCGGAACGUAUCCAGUAGCGGGGGAUAACCUGUCGAAAGAUAGGCUAAUACCGCAUACGAUCUACGGAUGAAAGCGGGGGACCGCAAGGCCUCGCACUAUUGGAGCGGCCGAUGUCGGAUUAGCUAGUUGGUGGGGUAAAAGCUCACCAAGGCGACGAUCCGUAGCUGGUCUGAGAGGACGAUCAGCCACACUGGAACUGAGACACGGUCCAGACUCCUACGGGAGGCAGCAGUGGGGAAUUUUGGACAAUGGGCGCAAGCCUGAUCCAGCCAUGCCGCGUGAGUGAAGAAGGCCUUCGGGUUGUAAAGCUCUUUCGGUGAAGACGAAACGGUUCGUGCCAAUACCACGGACUAAUGACGGUACUCACAGAAGAAGCACCGGCUAACUACGUGCCAGCAGCCGCGGUAAUACGUAGGGUGCAGGCGUUAAUCGGAAUUACUGGGCGUAAAGCGUGCGCAGGCGGUUUGUUAAGACAGGUGUGAAAUCCCCGGGCUUAACCUGGGAAUUGCGCUUGUAACUGGCAAGCUAGAGUGUGGCAGAGGGGGGUAGAAUUCCACGUGUAGCAGUGAAAUGCGUAGAUAUGUGGAGGAACACCGAUGGCGAAGGCAGCCCCCUGGGUUAACACUGACGCUCAUGCACGAAAGCGUGGGGAGCAAACAGGAUUAGAUACCCUGGUAGUCCACGCCCUAAACUAUGUCAACUGGUUGUCGGGGAAGAAAUUCCUUGGUAACGAAGCUAACGCGUGAAGUUGACCGCCUGGGGAGUACGGCCGCAAGGUUAAAACUCAAAGGAAUUGACGGGGACCCGCACAAGCGGUGGAUUAUGUGGAUUAAUUCGAUGCAACGCGAAAAACCUUACCUACCCUUGACAUGCCAGGAAGUCCGCAGAGAUGUGGAUGUGCCCGAAAGGGAACCUGGACACAGGUGCUGCAUGGCUGUCGUCAGCUCGUGUCGUGAGAUGUUGGGUUAAGUCCCGCAACGAGCGCAACCCUUGCCAUUAGUUGCUACAUUCAGUUGGGCACUCUAAUGGGACUGCCGGUGACAAACCGGAGGAAGGUGGGGAUGACGUCAAGUCCUCAUGGCCCUUAUGGGUAGGGCUUCACACGUAAUACAAUGGCGCAUACAGAGGGCUGCAAACCCGCGAGGGGGAGCCAAUCCCACAAAGUGCGUCGUAGUCCGGAUUGUUCUCUGCAACUCGAGAGCAUGAAGUCGGAAUCGCUAGUAAUCGCGGAUCAGCAUGUCGCGGUGAAUACGUUCCCGGGUCUUGUACACACCGCCCGUCACACCAUGGGAGUGGGGUCGGUAUCGUGACUGGGAAAC